ensembl:lncRNA
CGCGGAGGUUGUUGAAAUGCCAGAGAGCCGCGAGUCAGUAUUCCUGGCACAGCGCUAAAGGCACAAAUAUCAUUUCCUAGCACAAUGCCUGCUAACAGGGGGAAAGACAGAGGGCCGGGAAAAAGAAAGACACAGAGGACGGAGGGAAAGAAAGGAAGAAUGAGGAAGAAACGAUCACGUGCGACAAAGCUGGAAAGAAUGUGACUUGACAACUAUUUGAAAAAGUACCGAUCAUUCCCCGGAGGAUCUGGAUGACUCAUCCAGUGUGGCUGCCACUCCAUCACAAGACAAAGAGUGUGAGUCAUUGCCGCUCAUCUCUUUCAAAUGCCUGACGGACAGCUGUGACAGCCCGGAGGGUCGGAGAGGAGGCGGUCUGCUGGCUUCCUCAUUCUCCCGUGCCACAAGCUUUUAGACUUUCACACACACACACACACACACACAUUCCCCUGCCACCUCCUAUUUCGAAGCCCAGGAGGUCUAAAAUCCCAUCAUCCCUCCAUGUCAGCGUCACUGUUGCAAUCCCCCACUUCCCGCCAUUAGCAUAAUAUUCCCAUUCCCUUGCCGCCUCACUCCUCUUGCAUCAGACAAACUGCUCUGGGAAUCAUAGGGGAAUAUUCCCUGCUCAUGCUCAGACUAAGUCUUAUGACUUUUAUCGCAAUGAGUUUUGAAUUUUCUCUCUCUCUCUCUGAAUAAAAUACUGCAUAAUCACAUAUCUGUCAACUAUUAUUUCGCUUUGUUUUUUUGUUUGAUUUCUCUUUUAUUUCGUUGACAUACGCUUACGUGAACAAAGCAAUAGACACGACCACAGAUGAUGAUCAUCCAUGCUGGAGUGUCAGUCGGGGCUGGUACGAGGGUAUAUGCAGACCGGAGCCGUGUCAGGAGCCCGUACAUCUUGUGUUAGCGCUUUCUAAUUGCCUAAACUCCAGUAAGUGCCUGUGGUGCUCCAUCGAAGCAGCUGACUUGAAUCCAACUCAUCUUCUGUCAAAAAAACAUAAUGAGGCUACACUGAACUCAGUGCAACGGAGUAAAAAUCAUAAUUGAUUAUUUUCAAUCGAAUGCUUUCAGCUGCAGUAAAUAGUGAGCAUGUAUUAACAAGAUGCAUGUGCCAUUACCUCCAAAACUGCUGGCUAAAGCUUUCCGUCCCACUGAUACAUUGCAGUCUUUUGCUUAUGUUUUUGUGCACUUAGUGCCUCUGCUUAAACUACAUAUAUAAAUAAAUACAUUUAUAUGAAAAGAAAAAAUACAGGCACUCCGAGCAAAUCGCAAAGAUUGCCACCAUGAAAUUUAUCUAUUAGACCUAAAAGUACCGAUCAGAGUACAGAUCAAAUGUUUUCAUAGCAAAUCGAUCUGAAUUACUUUUAGUCACAUUGUUUAGUCACAUCUGAAAGGUCUGUUCCAUCGCUGGACCGAUGCACCUUACCUCCAACCCGCAAGGAGAGGAAGAAGGAAACGUUAUGUCCAUUACACUUGGUUGUUAAACGUAGGCCAUUGCUAUGCAAUGUCGCCCUCUGUUGAUCGUUUGGAUUAUAUAGAGCAGUGAUUCCACAAAGUGGCUUUUAGGGACCAGGAAAGCAACCACAGCUAUAAAUGGGAAUAAGCCACUAACUGACUGACUGAAUUCACCGAAAAGAAUAUGUGUACAUCUAUAAAAGGUUAUUCAUGACGUUAGAAACA